rnacentral:rRNA from 1 species
CCUACGGGUGGCAGCAGUGGGGAAUAUUGCGCAAUGGGCGAAAGCCUGACGCAGCGACGCCGCGUGAGGGAUGAAGGUCUUCGGAUCGUAAACCUCUGUCAGCAGGGAAGAACGGUCACUGUGCUAAUCAGCAGUGAAUUGACGGUACCUGCAACAGAAGCACCGGCUAACUCCGUGCCAGCAGCCGCGGUAAUACGGAGGGUGCGAGCGUUAAUCGGAAUUACUGGGGGGAAAGCGCUCGUAGGCGGUAUGUCAAGUCAAGGGUGAAAUCCCCGCGCUCAAGGUGGGAACUGCCUUUGAAACUGGCAAACUGGAGGGUGUGAGAGGAUAGUGGAAUUCCAGGUGUAGAAGUGAAAUCCUUAGAUAUCU